rnacentral:rRNA from 1 species
AACGAACGCUGGCGGCAUGCCUAACACAUGCAAGUCGAACGAGACCUUCGGGUCUAGUGGCGCACGGGUGCGUAACGCGUGGGAACCUGCCCUUAGGUUCGGAAUAACUCCCCGAAAGGGGUGCUAAUACCGGAUAAUGUCUUCGGACCAAAGAUUUAUCGCCUUUGGAUGGGCCGGCGUUGGAUUAGCUAGUUGGUAGGGUAAAAGCCUACCAAGGCGUCGAUCCAUAGCUGGUCUGAGAGGAUGAUCAGCCACACUGGGACUGAGACACGGCCCAGACUCCUACGGGAGGCAGCAGUGGGGAAUAUUGGACAAUGGGCGAAAGCCUGAUCCAGCAAUGCCGCGUGAGUGAUGAAGGCCUUAGGGUUGUAAAGCUCUUUUACCCGGGAUGAUAAUGACAGUACCGGGAGAAUAAGCACCGGCUAACUCCGUG